rnacentral:sRNA from 1 species
AAUAAAGGAACUCAGUCUAAGAACGCCACGUCCUGUGGCAAUUUAUCUGUGCGAAAGCGAAGCGACAGCAACACACGACUGAGUGACCAACAUCAUGCUGC